CGCGGCCUAUCAGCUUGUUGGUGAGGUAAUGGCUCACCAAGGCGACGACGGGUAGCCGGCCUGAGAGGGUGACCGGCCACACUGGGACUGAGACACGGCCCAGACUCCUACGGGAGGCAGCAGUGGGGAAUAUUGCACAAUGGGCGAAAGCCUGAUGCAGCGACGCCGCGUGAGGGAUGACGGCCUUCGGGUUGUAAACCUCUUUCAGUAGGGAAGAAGCGAAAGUGACGGUACCUGCAGAAGAAGCGCCGGCUAACUACGUGCCAGCAGCCGCGGUAAUACGUAGGGCGCAAGCGUUAUCCGGAAUUAUUGGGCGUAAAGAGCUCGUAGGCGGUUUGUCGCGUCUGCCGUGAAAGUCCGGGGCUCAACUCCGGAUCUGCGGUGGGUACGGGCAGACUAGAGUGAUGUAGGGGAGACUGGAAUUCCUGGUGUAGCGGUGAAAUGCGCAGAUAUCAGGAGGAACACCGAUGGCGAAGGCAGGUCUCUGGGCAUUAACUGACGCUGAGGAGCGAAAGCAUGGGGAGCGAACAGGAUUAGAUACCCUGGUAGUCCAUGCCGUAAACGUUGGGCACUAGGUGUGGGGGACAUUCCACGUUUUCCGUAUCGUAGCUAACGCAUUAAGUGCCCCGCCUGGGGAGUACGG
rnacentral:rRNA from 1 species